CCAAGCCUUCUGGCGAUCUAGACAAAACAAGUCCACCGUGGGCUUUGAAAAACGCUUUCCUUGAUAAAAUUUAAGCGUUUUAUAAGAGGAUGCCGGGGAAGGUUUUCCGGUUUAUCCCGGAGGGCUUGUAGCUCAGUUGGUUAGAGCGCGCGCUUGAUAAGCGUGAGGUCGGAGGUUCAAGUCCUCCCAGGCCCACCAGUUUAUCCAUUACUUUCAUAAGUGCUUUUAAAAAAUAAGUACUUCUAAAAAGAUUGCUUCUAAAAAGCUUAUCAAAAUUGGCAGGCUUAUUGCUUUUGUGUGAGUAAUCCAAAGUUAAAGCAAAUUAAUGGCAAAAAAACAGUUCAAAUGCUAAAUACUAAGGAGUCAAAAUUCCUUGCAAAGUGAUUUUUACAGCGUCCAUUUGGUUGAUAUAAAUUCCAAAUGCUCAUAGACGUCAAUGCCUAUAUGAAACUAUCGGUUCAAUCAUAUCGCUUUGAGUUAUAUAGAUUUUGUAAUCCCUCUUUUGAUCGUUUUAAACGCUUUAUUCUGAUUUAGGGGCCGUAGCUCAGCUGGGAGAGCACCUGCUUUGCAAGCAGGGGGUCGUCGGUUCGAUCCCGUCCGGCUCCACC
rnacentral:misc_RNA from 1 species